rnacentral:lncRNA from 1 species
AUCCGUUCAUCUGCAGCUCAGCAGCUGAGCUCCAUUUCCUGACCUCAGAUGCCUCUCCUCAGGCCAAGCAGAGCCCUUCAAGAACCAGCUUAAAGCCGGUUUUGCAGCCUGAUCUCCAGGAAAUGCUAAAACAGCCACAAAUGAGGGGAAAAAAAUAAUUCAAAGGAGUUUGAAAACAUGAAAACAGCCCAGUGCUGCCACUCUGUAAGCAACAAGGAGUGGAGGCCCUUGGAGGAACACAAGAACAGGUUGUCUGUGGUAGCUACACAACUGCUACAUGUCUGCUGAGUGAGCCAGCCCGUGGAGAUGAACAAUUCAACCAAAUUCAUGCAGGAAAACAGAGCCUGACCCCAGUCCUGGCACCACCCUGCUUCGCUGGCAGCUGGCAGCACAGCAGCCAGGAGGAAAGGCUGGGGCUUAAGUGAUUUAACUUGGAGAGCACAGCAGCAAGAGUGAAAUCCACUUACACGGGCUAAUUGAUCAUGAAUGACUCCUUAAUUAGAAAUUAGAGAAAUGCCCCCAAACUUAAGAGGAGAAACGGGACCAAGGUGUUGAUGAGCUGAGGGGUAUUCAUGUGAUUCUGGAUUUUCCUUCAAAGAUGCUCUCGCCAAUUAACUUUUCAUGACAGAAAUUUGUUUGCCUUAAUACAGCCAGUUAGAAGCAUUUUCAGAUACAUUAUUUAAGGCCUGAAAAUAAAUAGUGACUGCUCAGCCUGCGCUCUGUGAAGCUCAGAGCCGCUCGCCUUCUCGCUCAAUUAUUGAUGGCACUUUCAAGCUGCAUUUGAGACACUCCUGCCUGCACAGGGGAAAAUCCUGGCUUGUUUACUUGCUUGCUCUAUUCCUCAAAGUCUCAAAAAAUCUCAUUCGGUGAUGGAUUUGAGGCUUUUAUCACCCUGUAUUUCACCCUUGCCACAGCAGAGGAUUUAUUUCCGAAGCCCCACCUGUGAGCUGCCAGCCCCGGAAAUUUCUCACCACAGGCACUAAAGGUGGGACGAUGCAGUGAGAUUUCACUUAGUGUAUCUUUUUUAUUAAAAAAAAGGAAAUGCCAGCGAUGACACAACACGAUUCCACCACCAAGGGAAAGUUGCACACUUGCUAGCUGGAUGAGCACAGGAUGCUUCUGAAGCACCCGAGACUGACUGCAAGGUCUGACUGAUGCUUUUCUCACUUGAUGGACUUUUAUCUCUCUCCCAGCAUGGGCUUUCUGAUGUUUAAUAAGGUAUGAGCUUUUUUUUUGCUCACUGAGACAUUUGCAG